CACGUAGGGGGGCGAGCGUUGUCCGGAAUCAUUGGGCGUAAAGAGCUCGUAGGCGGCUCAGUAAGUCGGGUGUGAAACCCUCAGGCUCAACCUGGGGACGCCACCCGAUACUGCUGUGGCUAGAGUCCAGUAGGGGAGUGUGGAAUUCCCGGUGUAGCGGUGAAAUGCGCAGAUAUCGGGAGGAACACCAGCGGCGAAGGCGGCACUCUGGGCUGGUACUGACGCUGAGGAGCGAAAGCGUGGGUAGCAAACAGG
rnacentral:rRNA from 1 species